rnacentral:lncRNA from 1 species
UUACAUUUUUUACCCUUGUAGUCUAAAACCCUUUCAUUACGUAUAACCCAUUCCCACGAUCACGAUAAGAUACAGAUUCAAUUCAAUCAUCGUCCACUGCUUGCUUCACCUUGUUGCCGCCUCCGGCUUGCUCCACCGUCGUCGUCACCUCCGGCUUGCUUCAUCGUCUCUGUAGCCUCCGGCUUAUCCCACUGCCGUUGUUCAUCAACUGCUUCAGGCUUGCUUCAUAGGUACGCGCUAAUUUUCAUUACAAAUUGCGAUUUUGUUUCUAAUUUUGACCGUUUCCUUGUAUCAGUGUGUCUCUUAUCUUAUUUGCAAAAGCACUAAGUUGGAAUUGUGAACUAAUCUACAAUCGUUUCUUCUAAAAUCAUGAACUGAUUUUGAUUUGGUUAAUUAUGGAUUCAACUUUCUGAUCGUUCCAGUACAAUUGCAACCUCAAUGCGUCUCUUUUCUAGUUUGAAAAAGCAUGAAUUUGGAACUGUGAACUGAUUUGGAAUCAUUUCCUAUAUAAUCAUGAAUUGAUUUAUAAUUGCUUAAUCAUGAUUCUUUUUUGUGAUUGUCCCUGUACAAUAUCAAUGUUCUAAUUUUUUUUUAUAGUUUCUUGCACAAUUUUGUAUCAGACUUUUGUUAUCAAAUUUUCGAUUAUAUAUCCAGUCUUCAAAUCCAAACAUCAAUGUGAACUGAUUUGGAGUGGUGUUCUAGUUUUUUGAUCGUUUACUGUACAUCUUUAUGGCUUCACAACAAGAUAACGUUUGGUUACAUUUGAGUUCUAUUUGAUACCUUUUUGGUUUCAUUUGAGUUGAAUGUUAUUUAAUUUUAGUGUAUGUGUGAUUAUCUAGCAGAUGGGUUCAAUAGAGUCAAAAAAGAAAGAGAAAGAAAGAGAAAAGAAACAUACAUGGAUAAACAAGUGUUUCCCCAUAGCCUAAUCCACCAGGAAAGUCUCUAGCUAAAGCCAUAAGUAAUUCAACAGUAUCUUUAGCAGCCAAGUCUGCAAAUGAUUUGACUCAGUCCAAUGCUAGUUCUCAAGGCACAUUGCAAUAUAAUGUCACCGGUUCAAAAAAAAAGUUAUAUAUGGUAGACAUAAAUAUAUUUAUAUAGUCUAAGGGGUAAAGUGUAAAAUUUGGUAAAAUAGAGAAAAGGGUAGAAUUGUCUAUUUAUUAAAAUUUGUUGUGUAUUUAUAAAUCUUGUUAUGUACGGAUCAACUCCCUUUUUAAAUACAGUCUCACGUAUCCAUAAUUAAAAAACCCACGGUUUGUUUCAUUCACAUUCCAGAGCAAGAACAACAGAAUAAAGUAAAAAAUAUUGAAGUUGCCAUGCAUUCUUCUCUUUGGUAUGAUUUAACCGUUUUUUCUGAUGAGUUGAAGUAAUCGAUGUAUUCAUCUUCCUCUUUUUACUCUUGGCCUUUUAAUCGGUGCUAUUACACGUAUUAACUGCAUAUUAAUAAAUAAUAACUAAAGAAUGUGACAGAAAAAUCAACACAACUGAAGUAACUAUACUCUAAUUUGGGCAUUAAAACAGGGACACAACUUAAAUAAAUAUACUCUAAUUUUGCUGAUAACAUUGUUUAGUAUAUUCAGUUCGAUUUCAGAUCCAUUAAGUUCAUACCUAACUAACGUCAAAGAAUGAUAGAUAUAUUCUCUUUUCUUUUACAAGAGUCAACAACAUGCUUAUCAAACUUCAUUUGAAUACAAGGGCAGUCUGGUCAUUAUUCAUUACACAGUAAUUUUUUUUCCUCAAUGAAUGAAUAUAUAAAUAGGGAUCAUAAUUGUUAGCAUAUAUAUUUUUUGUUUUAUUCUUAAUAGCAAUUAAUAGCAAUGUCCCAUGUACUAAUAAGAUUGUCACAUUGAACCUUUGUAGGAGCUGCAUAAAUUUGUGACAUCAGGUACAAAUACAGUUCAUUAUUAUCAUCCUACUUUUAAAAAAAAUGACUUUUUGGUUUCUUAAUUUUUUAAUUUCAGUUACAAAUUUCCUACUUUAAAUCAACAUAAUUGUUUUCAUUUUUCCUUUUUUUUUUUAAUUCUAACACAAUAUGUUUUAUUUAUUAGGGACCAUAUAUCAAUAUUUAUUUUAACUCUCAAAUGAUACAAAAUAUUAGUUUUUUUUUUACAAAAUCAAUAACAGAGGCAUAAUGGUCAUUUAUGUUUGUGUUUAUAUGUAUCUGUUUGUGUAUGUAUAUGUAUUGUUUGUGCGUGUAUAUGUAUCUGUUUUCAUUUUUCUUUUUUUCUUUUUUUGUUUUUUUUUUUUAAAUUCUAACAGAAUAUAAUAGUGUUAAAUACACAGGGGCAUAAUGGUAAUGUGAAAGUUACAAACAAUUGUAAUAUGCAUGAAUCAAAGUACAUUGUUCUUUAUUGGUCAUGAAUCAAAGUACAUUGUUAUUUACUGUAUUAGUUUAUUGCAGCCUAUUGUAACUAAAUGGUAUAUGUGUAAUUCCAUAAACGCCCUUCUUCGUAACAUAGUUUUAUUGAUCUUAUAUUGAUCUAUUGCAUUAUAGUACAAUAAAAAUCUUAUUUUUUUAUAUAGGGACCAUAUAAGGAUGUUUUAUUUAUCAGUGAUCAUAUAUUAAUAUUUUGUUUCACUGGAAUGAUAUACAAUAUUAGCUUUUUUAUAUUUUUUAUUUUUACAAAACCACUAGCAGGGGCAUAAUGGUCAUUGAUGUUUGCGUGUAAAUGUAUCUGUUUGUGUGUGUAUAUGUAUCUGUUUUUGUGUGUAUAUGUAUCACUUUGCCACGUGACAUUCUCUUAGCCCCCCUAAUCAAAAUUUCACGCUUCUUAUACGAGAAUGAGUGUUGUUGUUGACAAAUAAACCAAUUAUUAUGUCAAAU